CAAAAAAUAGAACAUAAUAACAUUAAGGAAAAAAUCCAGAAAGCAAUUUCUACAGGACUGUGAUUCGGAUUCAACAAAAACUAACCCAUUCAUCUAUGACCAGUCCUUCGCCAAUAAUCUUUGGACCUGUUUCUUCUGGAGGUUUUUUGCGAGACUCAACAGCAGCCUCAGCUUCAGCCAGCUGACGUUUUAAUUUCUCAAGAGCCUUGCAAUGAAUUAAAGGGAAUAAUUUAUACAUUAUUCAAUUCUUUUCUCUAUUUUAUAUAUUAUACAUGGUGGCUGCCUAGAGACAACUAAUUGCACAAGUUAUGCCUACAUAAGGUAUCCAUACAUGUUCACAAAAAAAAGAACAAGCAACACAAUAGAAAGGCCUGCCAAAUAAGAGCACCACUGACUCCACCCUUUUUUAUAAUGAAAGCACCAUUUUCAAUCCAUGUAGAAAAUGAAUCACGACCAUACUACUGUAUAAAUGAGUGAAUAAAAAACCCUUACAGGAGUAGGACGUUCCACAUCAAGAAAUACAACCCGUAAUAUCUGCUCAACAGCAACUUGAUCCUUUUGUUCAUCAAACUGAAAUGAAACAAGAACAGAAUCUUCACCAAGGAUGAAAGAUAAAUAUUUGAUAGCAAUGCAGAAGCCACUCCAACUCUCCUUCAAAUUUACUCAUAAUAACCGUAGUAUGCAUAUCAAAAUACUAUAUUAGUCCCAUAAUAUUCAGCUUGAGAGAUGCAAGUUUGAUGUAUAGUGGUUGCCACAUAGUACAAAAAAGAAUGAAUCAAACCAUCAUAACAGGUACAGUUCAUACCAGCUCAGGUACAUAGUCCAUCGGUCCUUUCACCUUCAGGCUCAUGAUCUUAAACUUCACCCUGCUUUUCUGAUCCAUUGGCUUUUCAUUGUUCUCCGGAUUCUCCACAAAUUUAAAUACUUUUGAUACAAAAAAAAAGUCAAAACUAACUCAAUAUACAACUUGAAGUGAAGACCAAAUAUCAAAUAUGAUUAUCUCAACAAGCUAAUUUGGACAACUCUGUAUAAUGUGGCAACUAUAACUAUGCUAUGAAAAGAAAAACAUGAAGAAAGAUCAUAAAGAAGACAUUACCAGUAGCUAUAAGACUCUCGCCAGGAGCAAGAAUUGCCCCUGGAGGACGCAUAAAACAGCUCUUUGGUGCAGUUGUUUGGAACUAAAUCACAUAAGCAAGAAGCAUUAAUCAACAAAAUUAAGGACAUUAUAGGUCAGAAAAGAAAUAUUUAUUAUGAACACAUUUACUAACACUGUAUCACUGCCCUAAAAAGAUGCAUCAUGGUCAAGAUACGGAAGGAAUACAGGUAUAAUACCUUAAAAGCUACAUGAGAUUUGCUUGUAUUUUUAAUCCCAAUCGCACUCCGGACUUGUUUGCCAGGUUCGUCUAAAAUGAUACAAAAAAAGGUUCAAAUGUAAGCACUACUACCAUAUUUAACAGCACCUCAUACAAGAAAACGUAAGCUGAAAAUUAAAUUACAGGGCUAUAAUUUUGUACUCCAAUGCAGAUAUAUGUAACAUCUACAAAAAUUCAACCCAUUCUAAAAAAGCAACAGCAAAAGACGGCCAUGCCAGAGAAAUAAAUUUAGCUAAUAAACAUACACAUGUUAAAAGACAUCAAGAUCAUCAGACAUCAAGAACAUAUACAAGUGUAAACUGAGAGGAGGCUUUAUCAUCAAGUGACCUUGUCUUUCCUAUUUACAUUUUGCAUUGGUAGGGUGUAAAAUGGAAGAAGAAAUUAAAACAUUAACAAUCUCUUAACCAAAGCUUUUGUGAGAAGUUCGCAAACUCAACUAUCACUCUUCUUGUAGACAUAACAAUUCUAGCUAUAUACAAAACCAUUACCCAGUAAAGGCUCAAACAGAUAUACAAAUAAAACAUUUUUCGCACAUGUCCAGAUAAUCUUAACGGACAUAGAUACGAAGGACGUGCCUUCUACUCGUAAAAUUAUUUCUUUAAUUCACAACCUUUUUUCCUGAUUCAUGGCUAUACAUGCAAUAUGAUUUACCUCAUCUAUAGUCUGCAUGUGUGAAACAAUNAUUUUUUUAACAAAUGAAUACUUAUUUAUAUAAAUAAGAAAGGAUAAAUGAUUUUUAAAUAUUCAGUUUUAAAAGAUAAUAUGUAAGUAUGGAAUUGUAUUCUCAAAUAAGUCUAAAGUUUGAUAAAAUAAGAACACAUUAUAGCAUUUUCAACCACACAAAACCCUUAGCUAAAAUACAAGAAAUCUGUGUUACACAUUAUUUGUAUUGAACUGAUAUAUUCAAUUUUAACAAACUAAAAUAUUAAUAACAUACUAUUUUUAAAUUAUAACCAACCAAUAUAGCCAAUACCAUUCGAGUGCAACAGUUUCGGCAAAUUAUGCAUAAUAUCGUAUAUAUUUUAUUUUAACAAACUAAAAUAUUAAUAACAUACUAAUUUUAAAUUAUAACCAACUAAUAUAACCAAUACAAUGUCUUGCCUUUUCAGCAAAUCAUAAUAAUAUAAUAUCUCUUAGGUCCAAUUUUAACCAAUAAUUAUAGUCAACCUCUAAAUUACUGUUAGGCAACUUUGAGUCGAAUUUGUAUUAACAGUCCAGUUUUAAACAAAAAGUAUACUUGCACUCGUACUAUAACUAGGGAGAGAUCUUCUGGAAUGAGCAACUACACAUAUAUCGGGAGAAUUUAAAAUUCAAGUUUUAAGUAGAGAAGUAAAUGAGUAAACUCAAGUUUGCAGGAAUAAAGAACAUUCAAGCUACAUUGCUCCUUUGCAUGUCAAAUUAAGAAGAAAAAAGAUCACAGGAACUCUUAUUAAGCUAUAGAACUGUUAACCAAUCCUAUUAUUUAGCUGAUGCAGGAGCUCAUCAUCAUCAGUUGUUCCGGAUUCACAUAAUUAGAUGGCAGCUGAAAUCAAGCACUCCCAACAACACAAAGCCACUGGCCGACGAACAAUGUAGCGCAGUUGACAUUGGGGUUGAUGGAGUUGAACUCAUCAGCUGACAAGGCAAAACUCUGAGCAAUGCUAAAGCAAGUAUCUCCGCUGCUCACUCCAGUCACCAUAUCACAUGUUGGAACGGAUGCUUUUGCAAGCCUCCCUGUUUUCAGAAAUACAACUCAUAAACUAAUUUGCAAUACAAUAAUAAGUGAAAUUUUGGAGAGUUACAACGUGAUCAACAUUAAUUCAGAUAAUCAAAUUAACAAAGAUAUGAAUCCUGAAGAUACUUACUGGGCAAAACUGAUCUGCUUUCAGAAAUAGCAAAGAUGAGAAGAAGAGCAAGUGUGAGAAUGAGCAGGGCACUAUUGUUGUUGCUUGUCUUGGCCAUUGCACUAUUUGUUCUUGGAGGAAAGCAGCUAAGCCAGAUAAGAUGAGGAUACUUGCUUUCUUACUUCUGUGUUAGUGCUUCCUUAAACCCCACAUUUAUACUUUACAUUGAGGAAUGCGACCAGCAAGUAAGCCAAAAAUCAUUGUUUCCUUAGAAACAUACCCGCCCUCUUGUGACGCCAUGCGAUUUAACCAAUCAGGUACGCCGAUUUGUAUGCCCAUAACAGAUAGAUGAUCCACACACAGGUACCAGACAAAUCCAAAAUACUUAGUAAAACAUUAAGUAAAAAGUCCGACAAAUAAUUUAGUAACGCAUAAAGAAAUAGUGAGUUGCAGACUGCAGUAGUCAAUUAGUCAUUUAGUCCUCUUUCACUCAUUUGCCUAAUUAUCUGUCAUAUGUCUGAUGAGAGAGCAGACGCUUACUCACACUAGAACCUAUUUGGACUGGCAUAUUUUGGCCGACUAUAUUUUUUUUGUAAGACGAUUUAAUUCAGAACUAAACACUAACGAUUAUGCAAGCAGUUAAGACCCGGUUUAGCUGCAUUAAGUAAAUAAAACAUUUAAGACCCGGUUUAGCUGCAUCAAGUAAAUAAAACAUUUAACGUGAUUCCCAGUUCCCUGCAACAUGAUUCCGAUUUGCCCACUGUGCGAAGCAAAAGUGCGACAAAACAAGACUCAAGAGUCAGUCCCUUAAUGUCAUGUUGGUUUAUGCAAAUUGAUCAUGGAACAAUGCAACUAAUAUUAAAAAUUCACUUUUUGAAGAGAAAAAAAAUUGGAAUACAUUAUCUACAUAUUUGAAGCAGUUGACAAGAAAGGUAAUCAGUGGCUCAAGUUACAAACCAAACUCCUCAGGUCUUCUUUUGAACUUCUUUAAACACACAAAAAGUCCUUCACAGUUGCAAUAAAAAAAUAUGAAGGGCCAAGAACGAUACAUUUCAAUAAUAUUACAACAGAGCAAUAGGCACUUGAAGCAACACCAUAAAGGCAUAAACAAACAAUUUAUACUGAAUCUACUCCCUCCACCUGCUGUCGAGCAAGAUAUCUUUCUCUUCUUUCUUUCUACAAAAAAUAGAACAUAAUAACAUUAAGGAAAAAAUCCAGAAAGCAAUUUCUACAGGACUGUGAUUCGGAUUCAACAAAAACUAACCCAUUCAUCUAUGACCAGUCCUUCGCCAAUAAUCUUUGGACCUGUUUCUUCUGGAGGUUUUUUGCGAGACUCAACAGCAGCCUCAGCUUCAGCCAGCUGACGUUUUAAUUUCUCAAGAGCCUUGCAAUGAAUUAAAGGGAAUAAUUUAUACAUUAUUCAAUUCUUUUCUCUAUUUUAUAUAUUAUACAUGGUGGCUGCCUAGAGACAACUAAUUGCACAAGUUAUGCCUACAUAAGGUAUCCAUACAUGUUCACAAAAAAAAGAACAAGCAACACAAUAGAAAGGCCUGCCAAAUAAGAGCACCACUGACUCCACCCUUUUUUAUAAUGAAAGCACCAUUUUCAAUCCAUGUAGAAAAUGAAUCACGACCAUACUACUGUAUAAAUGAGUGAAUAAAAAACCCUUACAGGAGUAGGACGUUCCACAUCAAGAAAUACAACCCGUAAUAUCUGCUCAACAGCAACUUGAUCCUUUUGUUCAUCAAACUGAAAUGAAACAAGAACAGAAUCUUCACCAAGGAUGAAAGAUAAAUAUUUGAUAGCAAUGCAGAAGCCACUCCAACUCUCCUUCAAAUUUACUCAUAAUAACCGUAGUAUGCAUAUCAAAAUACUAUAUUAGUCCCAUAAUAUUCAGCUUGAGAGAUGCAAGUUUGAUGUAUAGUGGUUGCCACAUAGUACAAAAAAGAAUGAAUCAAACCAUCAUAACAGGUACAGUUCAUACCAGCUCAGGUACAUAGUCCAUCGGUCCUUUCACCUUCAGGCUCAUGAUCUUAAACUUCACCCUGCUUUUCUGAUCCAUUGGCUUUUCAUUGUUCUCCGGAUUCUCCACAAAUUUAAAUACUUUUGAUACAAAAAAAAAGUCAAAACUAACUCAAUAUACAACUUGAAGUGAAGACCAAAUAUCAAAUAUGAUUAUCUCAACAAGCUAAUUUGGACAACUCUGUAUAAUGUGGCAACUAUAACUAUGCUAUGAAAAGAAAAACAUGAAGAAAGAUCAUAAAGAAGACAUUACCAGUAGCUAUAAGACUCUCGCCAGGAGCAAGAAUUGCCCCUGGAGGACGCAUAAAACAGCUCUUUGGUGCAGUUGUUUGGAACUAAAUCACAUAAGCAAGAAGCAUUAAUCAACAAAAUUAAGGACAUUAUAGGUCAGAAAAGAAAUAUUUAUUAUGAACACAUUUACUAACACUGUAUCACUGCCCUAAAAAGAUGCAUCAUGGUCAAGAUACGGAAGGAAUACAGGUAUAAUACCUUAAAAGCUACAUGAGAUUUGCUUGUAUUUUUAAUCCCAAUCGCACUCCGGACUUGUUUGCCAGGUUCGUCUAAAAUGAUACAAAAAAAGGUUCAAAUGUAAGCACUACUACCAUAUUUAACAGCACCUCAUACAAGAAAACGUAAGCUGAAAAUUAAAUUACAGGGCUAUAAUUUUGUACUCCAAUGCAGAUAUAUGUAACAUCUACAAAAAUUCAACCCAUUCUAAAAAAGCAACAGCAAAAGACGGCCAUGCCAGAGAAAUAAAUUUAGCUAAUAAACAUACACAUGUUAAAAGACAUCAAGAUCAUCAGACAUCAAGAACAUAUACAAGUGUAAACUGAGAGGAGGCUUUAUCAUCAAGUGACCUUGUCUUUCCUAUUUACAUUUUGCAUUGGUAGGGUGUAAAAUGGAAGAAGAAAUUAAAACAUUAACAAUCUCUUAACCAAAGCUUUUGUGAGAAGUUCGCAAACUCAACUAUCACUCUUCUUGUAGACAUAACAAUUCUAGCUAUAUACAAAACCAUUACCCAGUAAAGGCUCAAACAGAUAUACAAAUAAAACAUUUUUCGCACAUGUCCAGAUAAUCUUAACGGACAUAGAUACGAAGGACGUGCCUUCUACUCGUAAAAUUAUUUCUUUAAUUCACAACCUUUUUUCCUGAUUCAUGGCUAUACAUGCAAUAUGAUUUACCUCAUCUAUAGUCUGCAUGUGUGAAACAAUUACUUUAUAUUGAUAAAACACCAGAAGAAUGACAAAAAAAAAAAAANNNNNNNNNNNNNNNNNNNNNNNNNNNNNNNNNNNNNNNNNNNNNNNNNNNNNNNNNNNNNNNNNNNNNNNNNNNNNNNNNNNNNNNNNNNNNNNNNNNNNNNNNNNNNNNNNNNNNNNNNNNNNNNNNNNNNNNNNNNNNNNNNNNNNNNNNNNNNNNNNNNNNNNNNNNNNNNNNNNNNNNNNNNUUUUUGCGAGACUCAACAGCAGCCUCAGCUUCAGCCAGCUGACGUUUUAAUUUCUCAAGAGCCUUGCAAUGAAUUAAAGGGAAUAAUUUAUACAUUAUUCAAUUCUUUUCUCUAUUUUAUAUAUUAUACAUGGUGGCUGCCUAGAGACAACUAAUUGCACAAGUUAUGCCUACAUAAGGUAUCCAUACAUGUUCACAAAAAAAAGAACAAGCAACACAAUAGAAAGGCCUGCCAAAUAAGAGCACCACUGACUCCACCCUUUUUUAUAAUGAAAGCACCAUUUUCAAUCCAUGUAGAAAAUGAAUCACGACCAUACUACUGUAUAAAUGAGUGAAUAAAAAA
rnacentral:lncRNA from 1 species